ensembl:lncRNA
GUUCUCAUUAAGGCAUGGUAAUUUCUCUGAAAUAUGACUAUAUGCAUGACUUCUAUCAGCCAAAACCAAUAGUUACAAAAAAGGAAGGUUAUUUUACAUUUUAGCGACUGCCUAGCUAUAUGAUUUUAUGCAACUCCCAAAAUCUAAAGAUCCUUGUUAGAAAGUGAAUAAUGUCUUUAUUGCAUUCAGAGUAGUAUACGUGUGUGGUAGGGCAGGGAGACCUGGGCUUCAUUAAUUGAGGACCUUGUCUAGUUUAAGAAUCUUGGUGAAGAGAUUUGAGGGUUUCCUCCCAGUAAUUCCUACAUAAUGGCUCUCUUUGGCACCUGGUGUCAGGCAUUAUUUAGACUUUGUAGCCAAGUGCUUCACAAACUGCAAAGUGCACACAAACCUCGUUAACUUGUAGAUCGGGAUAGUGGGUCUGAGGUGGGGCCUGAGGGUCUGCAUUUCUAACAAGAUCUCGGGAGAUACCGAUGCUACUGUGCAAACCACACUCACGGCAAAUGCAGGGGACUGGCAGACAGCUUGCUCACACCAUUUUGUCAAGAACGGACGUCAGCAGUUGUGUGUGAGGAGUGGCACGGCACACUGGCAGAUCUGCUCCUCUCUGGACCAUGACAGAUGACCACAGCAAGCCAUUGUAUUGGGCCAAGAUUGUGUCCUUCAGAAAACAGACAAAAAUUUGACUGUGGUGCCCAUGUGGUGCCAUGGUCUUUAUUGGAAUGUGGCCCAGAUCUCUCUCUCUCUUUUUUUUCUCUCUCCUAACAUUCCUUGUACGACCCCAGGGAAAACAAGUCCUUGUCACUCCCCGGAAAGGAAAGAGAAAGGGAAGAUGAUGAGUUCUCAUGAGCUGCCUUGGAUCCCUCCAGGUGAACAGGAAUCUUGUCUGGUCUGGUUUCAGUAAAUACUCCCCCACACGUUUGGAAGUGGAUUUUGUAAUGAGCCUGUGAGACGUGGAGGUGAGGAUGCAAAAGAAGUUGAGCAUCAGUCAAGGCAAGUGCUAAUUGCUUGUUCCUUGGUCUCUCCUACUACAGAGAACACUAUGACAGUUAUUUAAAAACAAAGGAAGAAAGAGAAAUUAUGAGGGUUUUUUUUUUUAACCAAAUAUGAAAGGGCCAAAGGAUGUAGAGAAGUAAGGGGGGAGGAAACUUGUUCAAAUUCACCCGGUGAGUGCCCAGUAGUGGGGUGGGACUGCAUGUUGACUUUGGGCUCUUGUGAGCUGUGGCCUUGGGUAAGUAACUCCAACUUUGUAAGCCUCUGAUUCCUCAUCUGUAAAAUAGGAUUAAUAACAGGAGUCUCUUCAUGAGUUUAUGACCAGGGUUAAACGAGCUAAUGAGUGUGAAGUGCCUGACCAAUGACCACUGUUCCAUUAAAGUAGCAGCCGCGGCUAGUAAAUUCUAAAGGCCAAAAGGCCAGUCACCUCAGCUCUGGGGCUCUUUUCCUUGGGCAUCAACCACUACAAGCCCAUACUGCCUUGGAAGGAGUGCGCCCCCUUCCGAACAUGUAUGUAUGUUACUCCUGGAUGGGGAAAGAAUGACAACAUGUAAAUACAGUUGUUGAGAUAUACAGGUGACCCUUGAACAAUGUGGGGAUGAGGGGCACUGACCCCCUGCACAGUCGAAAAUAUAUAUAGCUUUUGACUUCCCCAAAAUUCAACUAGUAAUAGCCUACUGUUGACCGGAAGCCUUAAUGAUAACAUAAAUAGUCAAUUAGCACUUAUUUUGUAUGUUACAUGUAUUAUCUACUGAAUUUUACAGCAAAUUAAGCUAGAAAAAAAUGUUGAGAAAAUCCAUCUGCAGUUGUAUACUAUAUUUAUCAAAAAACAAAAAUCCACAUGUAAGUGGACCCACACCGUUCAAACCCGUGUUGUUCAAGAGUCAGCUAUACUGAAAUCUCUAUUAAGCAAGAACUGCUAGGUUGACUUGCAAAAUUCAACAUGAGAUAAAUGAUGUAAGCAAAGGCUAGACCCCUUUAGCACAAUAGGGAAUGUAGGUUAAGGCAGUUUCAAGAGUCUACUAAUUAUGAGAAGAAAAAUCAAUGAGAAAGAAUUGAAAAGGGGACUGGUCACUGAUAGGCGUGUGCCCGGGUAAGAGACAAAGUCCCAGGAGAAAGAAAUAAGUUCAAGGAGAGAGAGAAAGAGCUCAUUGCAUAUGAUAUCAUCACAACCUGUUGUGAUGUGCAACAGAGAGAACCACCCUUCCUGGCAGUCAGGAGAGCUGAGAAACCCACUUAACUGAUCCACAAAGGAAGAGAAAAGAGAGAUCAGAAGCUUGAGCAUUUCAGUCUUUGGAAAUAAAACCUCUAAACCCACGAGUGAUAGGAAUAGA